rnacentral:lncRNA from 1 species
GUAGCACCACCAGGUUAGAGAAGGAGCUAAAACAUAAUGCUUCAAUUCCGCUCUUGCCUCCAUUAGUAUUUCCUUUUACACGAAAGAUAAUCCACUUUAGAAUAUAACACAGUUAGCAUAGCAUAAAAAGUAAGUUCCAAAUUAGCUCUUAGUUACAGUUUAUGCUAUAAGUCCACCCAAGUACUGUAAAAAAUAAAUAAGAAAGCUAUUGAUCAUUGAUCAGUAAAUCAGCCAAGUUCACAGUUCACUUACUUUCCAUGGGCAGUUUCUCCAGAAAGCAUGACCGCAUCAGAAGAAUUUGAAAGGAAUUAAGGAGAUUUUUAGUAACAAGUAUAAAGUCUAUUUUCUUAGCUGUGUUAGAUUUUGUCUUAGCAUGCUGUCUAUAUUGUUUGUAGUGUUAGGACAUUUAACAAGAUACCCCAAACAAGAAAGUUACACAACCAACACUUUUCUCAAUAGUGACUCAAUACUCUUUAUAGAAAAAAUUUACUUACCUUUUACAGUUGCUGACAAGAACUGAGGAAGACUGAGGACUGAGGACUG